rnacentral:lncRNA from 1 species
CGGCUAGCUGUCUGAAUCUCACUGGACCCUCUGAUCACUCGGCUAAGCAUGCCUCUCCUUAAUGUCAAUAUGCCUUGUCCAUUGCUGUUCUGGUUAGUGUUUAUUGGCUUAUUUCACUGUAGAGCCUCUAGCCCUGCUCAUUAUACCUUAUCCAACCUCUCAGUUCCUCCACCCACACAUGCUAUGACAUCUUCUGGUUUCAAUGAUGUUUCUAGAGACAAUAUCUCUCUCAUAAUCACUAAAUGCCUAGGUUUACCUCCUCUGUACUCACAUCCCACCAUACCUUUGUCUGUACAUUAUACCUUGAAGCUAUUUUAUCGCCCCCAGAUACCUGCUCCUUUUUCUCUCUAUUCUGGACGUCACAGACGACCAAUUCUUAUAGCUUUUAGCCGUACCCUCAUACUUAUUCUUCUCUGCUCCUCUGGGGAUGUAGAGGUGAAUCCAGGCCCUGCAGUGCCUGGCUCCACACCUACUCCCCAGGCGCUCUCUUUUGAUGACUUCUGUAACCGUAAUAGCCUUGGUUUCAUGCAUGUUAACAUUAGAAGCCUCCUCCCUAAGUUUGUUUUAUUCACUGCUUUAGCACACUCUGCCAACCCGGAUGUCCUAGCUGUGUCUGAAUCUUGGCUUAGGAAGUCCACCAAAAACUGUGAAAUCUUCAUCCCUAACUACAACGUUUUCAGACAAGAUAGAACGACCAAAGGGGGCGGUGUUGCAAUCUACUGCAGAGAUAGCUUGCAGAGUUCUGUCCUGCUAUCCAGGUCUGUACCCAAACAAUUUGAACUUCUACUUUUAAAAAUCCACCUCUCCAAAAACAAGUCUCUCACCGUUGCCGCCUGCUAUAGACCCCCUCGGCCCCUAGCUGUGCUCUGGACACCAUAUGUGAACUGAUUGCCCCCCAUCUAUCCUCAGAGCUCGUGCUACUAGGCGACCUAAACUGGGACAUGCUUAACACCCCAGCCAUUCUACAAUCCAAGCUUGAUGCCCUCAAUCUCACACAAAUUAUUAAUGAACCCACCAGGUACAACCCCAAAGCCGCAAACACUGGCACCCUCAUAGAUAUCAUCCUAACCAAUGUGCCCUCUAAUUACACCUCUGCUGUUUUCAACCAAGAUCUCAGCGAUCACUGCCUCAUUGCCUGCACCCGUAAUGGGUCAGCGGUCAAACG